rnacentral:rRNA from 1 species
GUUAGGAAUAUUGGACAAUGGGCGCAAGCCUGAUCCAGCCAUGCCACGUGAGUGAUGAAGGCCUUCGGGUUGUAAAGCUCUUUAGCCGAUGAUUAUAAUGACUGUAGUCGGAAAAUAAGCCCCGGCUAACUUCGUGCCAGCAGCCGCGGUAAUACGAAGGGGGCGAGCGUUAUUCGGAAUCACUGGGCGUAAAGCGUGCGUAGGCGGCUUUGCAAGUUGGGAGUGAAAGCCCAGGGCUCAACCCUGGAAUUGCUCUCAAAACUGCAAGGCUCGAAUUCGGGAGAGGAUAGCGGAAUUGUCAGUGUAGCAGUGAAAUGCGUAGAUAUUGACAGGAACACCAGUGGCGUAAGCGGCUAUCUGGACCGAUAUUGACGCUGAGGCACGAAAGCGUGGGGAUCAAACAGGAUUAGAAACCCCUGUAGUCC